GCAUGCAGCAGUCAACAUUGUAUACUUAUUGACUGGGUAUGAGUGGAAUAGUUAGGUUUUUUUUGUCCCGAGGAGCAACUAUUGUCCUGAGGCGUAGCCGAGGGCAAUAGUUGUAUCCUAGGGACAAUAAACUUAAUAUUUCACGAAUAUCCAGUCAGUAAGUGUUUUAUUGUAUCAAAAAAGACAACAGACAAUAAAUGGCGGUGAUAAAUCAACUAUCGUUAUUUUAAAAAGAAGAAACCAAACCAUAACGUUAACUUCAUAGAUAAUUAUGUUCAAAUACUUAGGCUACGUCUUGCACUGACGUCAAACCUAUACUAGAUAUAAAAGGUAAACACGACGUCGUUUCUCUCGCGUUAUUUUCAAAAUUCUCCAAUCUAAUUAAAAUUAAAUCUCUCACUCCCUUAUUUUUU
rnacentral:lncRNA from 1 species